rnacentral:rRNA from 1 species
UACCAGCACCCCGAGUGGUCGGGACGAUUAUUGGGCCUAAAGCAUCCGUAGCCGGCCUUACAAGUCCUCCGUUAAAUCCAGCUGCUUAACAGAUGGGCUGCGGAGGAUACUAUAAGACUAGGAGGCAGGAGAGGCAAGCGGUACUCAGUGGGUAGGGGUAAAAUCCGUUGAUCCAUUGAAGACCGCCAGUGGCGAAGGCGGCUUGCCAGAAUGCGCUCGACGGUGAGGGAUGAAAGCUGGGGGAGCAAACCGG